rnacentral:rRNA from 1 species
GACGAACGCUGGCGGCGUGCUUAACACAUGCAAGUCGAGCGGAGCGGCGAACGGGCGAGUAACGCGGGAGUACCUGCCACCCUCUCUGGGAUAACAGUUGGAAACGGCUGCUAAUACCGGAUAGUGGGGGAUGACUCGCGGCCUAUCAGCUUGGGGGUGGGGUAGUGGCCUACCAAGGCGAAGACGGGUAGCCGGCCCGGGAGGGCGACCGGCCACAUUGGGCUGGGGUAGGGGCCGAAGUGCUACUGGAGGCAGGGGGGGGGAAUGUUGCACAAUGGGGGGAGUGCGGAUGCAGGAACGCCGGGUGCGGGAGGUCGGCCUAUGGGUUGGAAAGCGCUUUCAGCGAUGAGUCGGUAGUGGCAGAGGAAGCACCGGCUAACUACGUGCCAGCAGCCGCGGUAAUAC